CCGAAUAAGUGAAUCUACGUGGAGUGGAGCGCAGCAGAGAGAGGAGAGCCGCAGUGGUUGUAAUGGUUCUGGAGCAGACUCGGAGUAAUGUUCGGCUGUAGCUGUGGGAAUAAGCGAAAUCGGGAGCGGAAUAAUAAUUAACAACAAUCCGCCAUGUUUAGCUGUCGAUCUCGUCGCCGUGGUGUAUUCUGUCACCGUGUCGGUUCCAUGUGAAUCUGCGCGCCCUUGUGGAAACUGCUAGCGCUAGCUGCUGGUUUCACAAUCCAGCCGGCGACCGGGCGGUGCAACGUCUCACGCUCACGGCGUGCGGCGCUUCUACUCCCCUCUUCCCGGCGUGGGCCCGCCGCCAUGGCAACCUACGCGCCGCCGGCCACGCCCUGGACGGAGAUUCCGCUGUGCCUGGGGCUGGAUGUUGUGACCUGGUCCAGACAGAGACAGCAAUCCCAUGUCAUGUCACCAACCAUGCGUGGACAAGUGCCAAGGGGCACAGUGGCAUUGGCAUCCCUGACGGCGUUCACCUCGAUACAGAGCUGGAGGUCAACCCGGGAAGGCGUCGUCAAUUCCCUGAUGGCAUGGUUUUCGUUUUCUGAAUCUGACGCAACGUGCCUGUGCCUCUACCAAAACGCCAUAAGGAAAGCUUCCACGGAUGGGUGGCCAUGGCCUGCAGGCAAAGGACAAAUAGAACUGAAGAAGAAAACACAUUUGUGCCAUAUGGAGGCCAAGGAGAACAGGACAACACAUCGAAUGAUCAUCGAAUCUGACAACAUGCCCACUCCAUCAACACAUCUCUUACAUUUGUUCUCCAGGGAUGGUUUCAGCAUUGCCGGCACAGGUUUUGGUCCUCAAGAGUAUUCUCACUACCUACCUGUGUGGCAGGACACGGCGAUAUAUGCUCCUCUGCUGUCCCGCCGUCUCGGGGGCCUUUUUUGUGGAAUUGCUGCGCCUUGCAGAUGGACCGCGUGAGGAAGUUCACUGGCAUGGCCAAGGGCACGCCCGCGGUGGUCCCAGCCCGGAGAGACGAGGACGAGAGCUUGGCUCUGUUUGGGGAGAUGUAUCAGCAUGAGAAAGAGAGGGACAUGAACCUCCUGGAGCCAAUGUUCUCGGUGGAGUUCGAAGCUAUUCAAGGAGACGGUCGCAUGUACAAGCUUCCUUCAGGAAAGAGGGAGUACCUCCUCCCAGAUGGCGAGAAGCAUGAUUACGACUGGCUCAAGACUCCCCCAGCGACCCCACUGUUCCCUUCCCUCGAGAUGGAAGCCAACUCAUCCCAGAUGAUCUUUCAGAAGGAGCUGCUGCCUAUGCUUCAGCCACUCAGGACUUCAAGGUUCUCAAGCAAGCCCGACUCUGCAACCGCAUCGACAACGUCCGAAUCGCCUACCUCCAGCUCCUCCAUUUCUGUGACUCCGACAGCGAGGCCCAGCUCUCCACCAUCGAAGAAAAAACUCAGCAUAGAAGCUCCCACUCCAUCUAAACAGCAGGACUCAGCAUACCGGAUAGAGAAGAAGUCCAGCUACACAGCACUGGCCAACAGGCAGCACAACUCGAUCCCUGCAGCCCCAACCCCAACAGCUACUGCCACCAAAGCGUCCAAGAAAGCAGCUCCGGGCAGCAAAUCCCAGCCACCAAACGCAGGCGCCAAGAAUAACGCGGCCAGACCGGGCAAGGCGCCGAAGAACGUUACGACAGCGACCACGACCACGGCGAAGCCUCGGCCGAAUGGUUCUUCAGCUGGCGCCGCCAAGGAUCGGAAGGUGGACGCUGGCGCCGCCGCCAGGAGACUGUCGUCGUGCCCACGCGCUGCGACGACAGGCGACGACGCGCAGGUUACAGCAACGAUGAAAGGAAGGAGCAGCAGAGCUGCGGCCACCGGCGCUCCUGUGGCUACUGCCCGUAAGGGUGCCGGUGCCGGUGCCGGCGACGCUGCCACCGAUGCGGUGCUGAAGGGGCGGAGGAGGGCUGGAGAGAAGGAGCAGAGGCCGAAGCUUGGAAGCCAUGCGAAGAAGUGAUUGAAACAUGGCGGUUUCAGGCUGACGAGUAGAUGGGAUGGGAUGGGACGCUAUCACUUUUUCAGGAAGGAACCUAUUGGUCGAGUCAUUGGAAUGAUCUUAGUCGCCCUAAUAUGUGAAAAUACAAGUGACUUGAAAGUUCUUUGCAGUUUCAUGUUUUAUGUUAGUGACGAUGUUCGCCAUGCAUGUAGCUUCGCUUCUUGACGGGGACUUUUUUC